GAAUGUUCCAUUGUCUGCAUCAAUAAUCCAAGCAGAGAUGUGCUGAUUCAGAAAUGUAUCAGCUAUUAAGAUGGAGUGAGGCUUCAAAUUUUAAUAUCAAAAACCAAAAAACCAGUCCAAAUGUAGAGAACAUUUUGGUUUGUGGAACUUCACAAAUGCAGCUUCGAAUUUGAAACUGGAAGAUCUGAUGGAAAGACAAGUACUAAAUGCUCAAGCUACUGCAUGAAGCCCUUUGACUCAAAGCACCAGUGAUCGAAGACAAGGUCCUGCCAUCCAAAAGGAUUGUGUACAUAGGGGAGAUUGAAAUUGGUGUGUAAUGUUAUUGCUUUUUUCGGUUCAUAACUGCAAAGCCACGUGCUAAUCGAGCAAGCCUGUGUGCACACAUGAGCUCCCUGUCUGGGUGGUAGCUCAAUUGGUCCCAGAUCCCCUGGCUUUCUAGCUCUGCUUGGUGAUGAUGGUGAUGGUGAUGACGAAGAUGAUAGCAUUUAUACAGUGCUUGUUAUGUUCUGAGCACUUUAUCAUUUGUAUUAGACAAGCUUCUUUAAAGAAACAGAACCGGUAGGAGAUAAAAAGAGAUUUAUUAUGAGGAAUUGGCUCAUGUGAUUAUGGACACUGAGAAGUCCCACAAUUUACUGACUACAAACUGAAGACCCAGCUGGUGGUGUAAUUCAGUACAAGUCCAAAGGGUCAGAGAAGAUGAGAAGAGAUGUCCCAGCUCAAGCAUGCAGCAGGAAGCAAAAAGGGCAAAUCCCUCCUUCUACCUUUUGUUCUAUUCAAGCCCUCAUUGGAUUUGAUGAUGCCCACCCACACUGGGGAGGGCAAUCUACUUUACGGAGUCCACCGAUUCAAAUGCUAAUCUCAUCUGAAAACACUCUCUAAGACAUACCCUAAAAUAAUGUUUAAUCUGGACACCCCAUGGCCAGUCAAGUAGACAUAUAAAAUUAACCAUCACAGAUUUCAUCCUCUCCACCACUUGUGAUAGAUUCUAUUACUAUUGCUAUUUCAUAGAGGAGGGCAUAAAAAUUAGAGACAUUGGAUAAGUUUACCCAGUAUCCCCUAAUGAGUAAAUGAUGGUGGUGGGAUUCAAACCCAGGGAGUCUGAUCUAAAGACAAAUGCUUAAUCACUACACAGAGAUUCUCUUUUUGUUAGAAAAACAGAGAUAAAUUUUUAUUGUGGAUGAUUAACAAAGAGAACUAUGUAUUCAGUGAAUUGUCAGGAAAAUUGUUGAAUUGUCAUGAGAUCAAUUCAAAUAGAUAAUGUUCCAGAAUUAUCCUCUUCCCUCCCUAUGUCCUACACUCACUGAAAGAUUUUAUUCACAUUUUCACACUGUCUUAAUCCCUUCCCCCACCCACUCCAUGAUAGUCAGGGCAAGGUAUAGUUCAUGUUUCUUCGAAUUGGUACAUUUCUUUUUUUAAGAUUUUAUUUUUUUAUUCAUGAAAGACACACAGAGAGAGAAAGGCAGAGACGUAGGCAGAGGAAGAAGCAGGCUCCGGGCAGGGAGCCCGAUGUGGGACUUGAUCCUGAGACCGUGGAUCACGCCCUGAGCCAGGGGCAGGUGCUCAACCGCUGAGCCACCCAGGCGCCCCUGAAUUGGUAUGUUUCUUGACAUGAGUUUUCUGACACAUCUCAUUUAUUUAUUUGAUGUGGCAGUUAGGAAACUCUGCAGUAAGUUUUAUGCCAUUUCUCAUAUAUUUUUUAGACAACUCAAUAAAUGAUAAUGUGUGUUUGGGGGGAUUUUAAUGUCUAUGUGGGUC